CCCCGACGCUCGCCCGCCUCCCCCCUCUCCCCGUAGCUCGCCGGCCUCCUCGUUGCUCGCCGGCCUCCCCGUCUCCCCGUAGCUCACCGGCCUCUCCCUCUUCCACCGCCACUUCUCCACCACCCCGCCUCCACUCACACCCCGGAGGUAAACAAAUUCCAAUCUUUUGCGCCGGCGACGAGCUUCUACUCCACGGAGGCGUGGAUGUGCAUGUGCUAGCGCUGGAUCUGGGCGACAGAGGCAUGGAUGUGGAGCGGCACCCGAGCGGCGGAUCUGGAGCGGUGCCGGAGCGCGGGCGCGGAUCUGGAGCGACGUCGUCGUCGUCGCGGAGUAGCUGCUUCCUCCCGCGUGAAACUGGAGAACGAGAGGGAGGGGCAGAUGAUGGCCGCCAUCAUGGAUUUGAAUCUUCUGUUCUUACAUUGCUGUAGUACUGGCUGCAGUCUUGCUGUACAAUCACUUGAGGAAUUCAAGGCCUGAUGCGUCCUUCUGGGAGCCAUGGCUACUUCUUCCUGUGCCCUGCGUCAGGAGUAAACAAGUUGAUUGGUGAUAUGUAGGAGCAGGACAAGCAAAACACUUUGUUUCUGAAAAAUACAGAGAAAACAUGUUUCAGUUUUUUGCUGUAGUUUUGCUUGCAUCUGUGAUUUUAGUUCUGUAAAAAACAUUAUCGUAAAGUAUCUGUAAAAUAUCUGCUUUAGUUUCAGUAGUGCUUGCUUGGUUGCUUGCAGUAGUUUAGUGUAGAACUCUUGCUUGUGUUCUCUCCUACUCCUCUUGCUUUCUUACUCCUCUCCACUCUUCUCCAGAUUGCACUAGUGAGGAUUAGGAUUGCAAGUGUAGCAGUAUUAUUGGAGUGCCCUCUUCUCUCUCCUUGCUCUCUUCUUCUCUUUCUCUUCUCUUCUCUUUCUUCUCUCUUCUCUAUCUUUUGCCCUCCAGUACUGCCCUCUUGCAGUAGUACUCACUGUGUGUGGUCUUUAAUUGUCACUCUAACAAUUGUCUCUCUUCUUGCCCUCUUGCAGGAGUAGUUUAGUUGCUCUCUUCUCUCUUCUCUUUCUCCUGUCUUCCCUUUCUCUUCUCUUCUCUGCUUGCUCUUCUACUCCUCUUCUACUCUCUUCUCUGCCAGUUUUAGUGUAGGACUAGUGUAGGAGUACAAGCAACCUUCUUCUCAUCUCUUCUUAGUCAAUUAAACCUUUUCUGUUAAUUAAACCUUUUCAAUUCAGUAAAUGAAAGUUUUCAUUAAACCUUUUCUGUUAAAUAAAAAAAUUAGUAAAUGAAAAGUUGCUG